AACGCUAGCUACAGGCUUAACACAUGCAAGUCGAGGGGAAACGACAUCGAAAGCUUGCUUUUGAUGGGCGUCGACCGGCGCACGGGUGAGUAACGCGUAUCCAACCUGCCCACCACUUGGGGAUAACCUUGCGAAAGUAAGACUAAUACCCAAUGAUAUCUCUAGAAGACAUCUGAAAGAGAUUAAAGAUUUAUCGGUGAUGGAUGGGGAUGCGUCUGAUUAGCUUGUUGGCGGGGUAACGGCCCACCAAGGCGACGAUCAGUAGGGGUUCUGAGAGGAAGGUCCCCCACAUUGGAACUGAGACACGGUCCAAACUCCUACGGGAGGCAGCAGUGAGGAAUAUUGGUCAAUGGACGAGAGUCUGAACCAGCCAAGUAGCGUGCAGGAAGACGGCCCUAUGGGUUGUAAACUGCUUUUAUAAGGGAAUAAAGUGAGAGUCGUGACUCUUUUUGCAUGUACCUUAUGAAUAAGGACCGGCUAAUUCCGUGCCAGCAGCCGCGGUAAUACGGAAGGUCCGGGCGUUAUCCGGAUUUAUUGGGUUUAAAGGGAGCGUAGGCCGGAGAUUAAGCGUGUUGUGAAAUGUAGAUGCUCAACAUCUGAACUGCAGCGCGAACUGGUUUCCUUGAGUACGCACAAAGUGGGCGGAAUUCGUGGUGUAGCGGUGAAAUGCUUAGAUAUCACGAAGAACUCCGAUUG
rnacentral:rRNA from 1 species